UGUUAAAAUUUUCAUCCAUUUGUACUAUUAAAAACUAACAUGGUUGACGGAAUAAUAAACAGUGACAUGUGGUGUGCCGUGUGUACCUCAUGUUGACAUAUAAUGACCAGUUUUUAACAGCAAAAACGAUGUAAAAUUUAACA
rnacentral:pre_miRNA from 1 species